UGGAGAGUUUGAUCCUGGCUCAGGACGAACGCUGGCGGCGUGCUUAACACAUGCAAGUCGAGCGGUAAGGCCCUUCGGGGUACACGAGCGGCGAACGGGUGAGUAACACGUGGGUGAUCUGCCUCGUACUUCGGGAUAAGCCUGGGAAACUGGGUCUAAUACCGGAUAUGACCUUCGGAUGCAUGUCUGAGGGUGGAAAGAUUUAUCGGUACGAGAUGGGCCCGCGGCCUAUCAGCUUGUUGGUGGGGUAAUGGCCUACCAAGGCGACGACGGGUAGCCGGCCUGAGAGGGCGACCGGCCACACUGGGACUGAGACACGGCCCAGACUCCUACGGGAGGCAGCAGUGGGGAAUAUUGCACAAUGGGCGAAAGCCUGAUGCAGCGACGCCGCGUGAGGGAUGACGGCCUUCGGGUUGUAAACCUCUUUCGACAGGGACGAAGCGCAAGUGACGGUACCUGUAGAAGAAGCACCGGCCAACUACGUGCCAGCAGCCGCGGUA
rnacentral:rRNA from 1 species